UUGAGUUGCGCAAAGCCUUGGGUGGGAAAUUGUCCUUUGGCCCAAUAAAAUUUUGAACCAUGAGAUCUACGACCAAAAUACCUCUUCGCGCUGUCGCCGCCGAUAGCUGAAACAGCCAACUAAUCAGCUGCUACCGCCCUCUCAGCUACUAAGCCUUUAAGCAGCAUCCUGCUCCCUAUGCACGCCACCAGCAAGACGGCCAGCCGCUGGAAUUUUGAACCCAGCAAUUCUAUGUACCUCUGACGUUAACUGUCUGAAAGAUUCUAUCUGUAACUCUCCCUCUUCAUUGUUGAUAAUCCUGUGCAACACAGAAGUGGAAAGCUCCAAUUAUGUUUGGUAUUUCGUACGGAGAGAUCUUCCUCAUAAUCGGUGCCACUGCUGCCCUUGUGGGGCCUAAAGACCUCCCCAUAAUUGCGAGAACAGCUGGGAGAUUAGCAGGUAAGGCCAUUGGGUAUGUUCAAUUAGCUCGUGGCCAAUUUGAAAAUGUUAUGCAACAGUCUCAAGCACGCCAGGUACAAAAAGAACUUCAAGAUGCAAUGCAACAGCUAGAGGCAAUUCGUCAUGAAAUCAGAAGUGUAUCUCUUAUUAACCCUGGUCCCUUGACUCGAAAGCUGAUGGACAAUCCUUCAGAGCCCACUUCUAAUCAUGAUGACAGUGCUUUGUCACCAAAAUAUGAAGGAAACUAUCCAUCACCAGACACUUUGUUAAAGGAUUGUAGCGUCAAACCAUCUGCCUCAUUAGACUUACACAGCCAAGCAACUGCAUAUGCAAGAUUGGCUGAAUCUGAAGCUGUGAAGAGUGGUUCUUUGAAGAGCAUUUUAGAGAAAGAAAAUUCUGAAAAUGAAGCUGCUUUGUUUACUGUACUUCCAGUAUCAGCCGAAAGCACUGGCAUGCUUCCAGGUCGCAAGGACAGUGCACAAGGAUCAGAUAUUUUGUUGGAAGCUGUACUUGAAUCAGAGGUAGCACAUAAUGCCAAAGAUUUCUUUUCUCAGCCUGAGAAUCAAUUACCGUGAAUGCAAAAGAUUACCAUGGAACCAUUAUGUUACAUUUUUGGUUAAACUGGUGUCUGGGUUUAUUUUCUUCAGACACUUGUAUAUAUGUUUGGCCUAAAUGGAAGUGGUUCAGAAUGAUAUAACUAAGGGUAAUUCAAUGCCUUUGAUUCAGUCGGCUCAACUGCAUCUUGGGGAAACUAUAUGAUGUUCAAGUGAAUCUUCGAUCAUUCAAGGACAGACAAGCAGUUAAUUUAUUUUGGUGGGAUCCAGAAAUGCUUCUUCAGGAAGUCAGCUUCUUUGUUCACCAAUGCAAUAUCCCUUCUGCUGGUAUGCGCAAUUCUUUGGCCCUUCCCAGUUCCCAUGAUACCUGUUCAAUAUGAGAAAAAGUGAAUGAUAUGUUAUCAUUUAAGACCCAAGUUGCCUUUAACUCAAUCAUUGUGGCUUUUGUUGGUUGCAAUGUGUCAUGACUGAAGAAUUUAGAUUGCAUAAUAAUGUAGUUUCAGAAUUCUUGAUUCUGAUUCAGUAAUUCAUGCAUUCAUUUGUUUUUCUGGAAUGACUGAGUGUAUAUAAUGUAGAUUUGAUAACAUAAUGAUCCAAAUUAGUUCUGUAUGUUUAGUGGGACAUAACAUAUUUUCUUCUGCCAUCUUUCCUAUUUUCUUCUGCAUCUUCAGUGCAAUUCUAUUCAAUGCUUCUACAAUUGCACAGUAUUGCAGGACUUUUCUGGAUAUUUGGUUUACCUAAAAUUGCUUACUCUGGUGGGCCAAAGAAGUACUAAGUGACAAAUAUGAUGUGUUUACUUAAAUGCUUCUUUUGCCUAUGGUGUGACAUACUGACCUGAGUAGCUUGGUUCAGUGAUGGGAUUGUCUUGCUGAAUGCUAAAGAAGGCUGUACUAACCCAUCAGUAGACAAAGAUGAACUUCCCAAUUAUGGAAGCAUCCCAAUUCACUUGUUUCUUUUAGGAAGGGGGAGUCCUUGUGAUCUAGAGCAAGCUCCACACUAACAUGCAAGAAAAGCCACAGAGACAUCUUGCCUAGUUUUUGGAGUGCCAGUGGUAUGAGUUCAUUGAAAAAUAUCCCAGGUGCAUGUAGUAACUUUUCAUGAAUGUUCACCACUCUCAAUAUUUUCACCCCAAGUUCUUCAAGCUGUUCCUUGAACCUGAUAUUCCCAACUCUUGGUCCCAAGAAUGAGAAGACAUAUCUAAGUACAACUUUCCCACUGUCCAUGAGAAUUGGCAACUUUUAUUCUCGUUUGUGUAGAGAUCAAGGACCCCGGACUCUGCUCUGACCCUUGGAUCUGGACUAGCAAUAUUUUCGAUGAAAUCAGCAUUAGAAAGUACAUAAAGUCUUCUAUACACUCCAACGUUGUCAUCAUACCCCUCCAAGCAAUGGUCAUACCCCUCCAAGCAAUGUUUAUACCCCUUUGUCCAAGAUGUGUUGAUAUUUUAUCAUUUGAUAAUGCAUCAUAGCCAAUCCAGUUUGCUGUUUCACUCCAUGCUUCAGCACAUACUGAUCUCUGGAAAAAGCCUCGGAGAUUGAUGUUACAUGAAGCAUAGUGGUAAGAAGCUACUUAAUAUCCAUGUUGCAUUAGACCAAGACACUCAAAAGACUUGGUAGGUGUAUAUUUGCAACUGCCUCAGCACUUGGGGAAUGUUUCAGAGUCAAAAGCAUCAUAACAGCUUGAGCCAUUUCUCUAUAUCAUAUUAGUUCAGAUGGUAGAGGGGAUCCAAAUGGUCAAGCAUACCGUCCCAGUUAUCCACAACAUGAAUUUCUAUCCAAGUAUCUGCUAGCUUCCUCUUGCCUUGUUUUCCUAUCAUGUUUUAUUCAUCAUCUUCUAUCUCUUUCUCUCUUUCAAGCUCUUAAACUAUACACCCAUUAUUCUUAGAUGAAACUCUACCUUUUACACACUGGUUCUCCGUCUUCUCUUCUUUUUAGCCAUGGAGAUGAUGAUUUAUUUUCUGUGGUUGGAGUUCUGAUGGGAUAUUUGAAUGGGAAGGCCUCUUGCCUGUAUCUGUUAUACGGCAAGACCAUUUCGGGUAGAGGGAUAGCCAUUGAUUUAUUCCGUGGGUAGCUUAAGCUGGUGGUGGAACAAUGAACAGAGCAAGGUUGGAAAUUUUGGUGGGGAGAAUGAAUUAGUGUUUAAUACUUCUAACGACUUGGUUAUAUAUUUGACCUUAAAAAUUAUUUUAUUUGAGCUUUGAUAAUGAUCAAGCAUUCUUAACCGGCACUUUCUAAACCAUUAAGACUCUUUGGUUUCAUAUGACCUAGAAUUAAAUAUAUGGUUAUUGGAUAGGUUCCUGAGCAGAGUAUCUUUCUGAGUUGGAAAUUGACUUAGUAGUGACAAAUGACACAGUUAUUAUUGAUUUAAUUUUACAACUGAUUGCUUUCAGAUUGUGAAUUACCGGGCAUUGGAUGGGCUUAGUUUAUACAGGAGGAUUUGAUAUGUGCUGUGUAAGAUUGAAUCGAAGUUUGACUUAGCUCGAACUCUUUCAUUGUAGUUUGCUUUGUCAAUAAUUCUUUGUUUUCUUCUAA